UACCAACUCUUCAGUUAAGAAGGGUAUCUCUUGUGAAGCCUCUUUGUGGUACCAGUAGGCAUUGUUUGGUUCUCUAUAGUAAACGCCAUCUCUUGAGCUUGUGAGAAAAUGUUACCUUCGGAUCAGUCGUCAACGGUUUUCCAUUAGUCGUACUGAAAGUUUGAACACAUUAAUGGCGUCGUUUGGUUGACGCCUUGAUAGCGUCUUUCCAAAAAUGGUGAAUAAAUUGUGCUUCAAAAAAUUGCUCAGUUUGCCGGGCACACUGUCUACCACAUGUUCUAUCAGAUAGUAUUUGAGCAUCAAAGGUUGCUUGGUUUGAAAUUGGUUCCCAAGUUAAAACUUGCUCACAUUUGGCCAUCAACUUGGCAGAGAAUGACGGUAAGCUUGGCCACACAGCUGUACUCCAAACAUAUGGCCAUGGCUUUAAAAUUUUUAAGAGAAGACAAAAAAACAGCGCAUUUAUUCAAUGGAUCAGAAGCUACAGAAAAGCUUACAAAGCUUAUUAAUGACACAUUUGACAUUAUGAAUGGACGACACAAGGGUGAGUCAAUUAAUGGGAACAACUGGAAUAAUUUAGUCGAAAUGGAGGGAAAGGUAACAAAGGGGAAAAAAUCUGUACUCGAAGACAUGCUAAAAAUAAUAGAGUUAACUAAGGAGUGCCAUCGCAAUCCUGGAAAACGUCGAAUAAUGGCCGCAUUUGCGUCAGAUACGACUCUAGAUGGCUGGCGCUUGUCUAUCCGUAGCACCAUUGACUUGACAGGAGAGUUAUUGAAUCCAAAAAACCCUUUAGAGGAAUACGAUUUCGUACUGACAGCAAAAUGAAACCAAGACGCCUUAGAGAUGACUUUUGGGCGCAUACGUUCAGUCGAUACACAUCCAACGGCUACAAGUUUUCUACAUAUUAUCAGGAUGAUGUCAUUGUACACACCCGCGAAGAUACUAUUGCGGAACGCAAAUGUAGAAAAUGAUGACCAUAUUAGGGUGCUCGUCGAUUUUAAGGAGUGUCUCAUUAAAAAAUUCCGCGACAAUGCUAAGGCUGCUGCUGAUUUAAGGGUAGCAAUGAAAGAUGAUUUAAUGGAAGAGCUGGGAAAGCGUUACGUAAACGAGUUGCCCUUGUCCAAAGAAGAUAGAAUCGGUAACUUUCUCAUAUACGAUGUAGCAGGUUACAUGGUGAAAACGAGAGAAAACCUUUUCGAGUGUGAGGCAUGCAGACAGACUGUAAUUACCAAAGAAGCAGAUCUACCAAGUGAUUUUGACGCAGAUGCAUACACGAAAGCUCGAACCAAAGGUGGACUGGUGUUUGUCACCCUGUCAAUGUACCAAACUUUGUGCGCAAUUGAAAAAGUUGUCUCAAACCACUUUAAGUCACUUAAUCAUAUUUAUAUCACUGAUACAUUCCAAGAGUGUAUAGCAAAAGUUAAAUUAACCAAUGUACUGCCCCUUUUUUGUGAUACUCAUCGCCAUUGUAAUAUGGGAACUUUAAUAAUGGAGUAUGUAAAAGUGAGAUAUUAUUUUGAAUCUAAACGUUUGAAAGAUGUUUUAUUGUCCAAAGAACAAACAACAGUCCAGGCGAGUUUCAAACUGGCCAAAAAUGCCCAUACAAGAAAUUUAAUACAAAGUAAUACUUAAA
rnacentral:lncRNA from 1 species